CUUCAGGUCUGGCUUGAUGCACUCUCCCUUGCUCUCUACAAUCCUGCCGCACCGACUGACUCACUCUUUCUAAAAUGGCUCCACCGCCGUGAACAGAGAUUCGGUUUUCUUCCCUUGCCUUAUCUUCAGUGCCUACAACAAUGCCAGAAAUGGAAGCCUCACGAGAGCAGAGAUGACAUCGCUGUUCCUGGUGUUGGUGGCCAGGCCCACACUAGAAACGCACACGCUCAAGGGACAUCCGCAAAUGAAUGAAUGUCUCCCCAGUCGGAUGUUGAGUCUCUCUGGACGUGGAGGCCAGGCCUGGGAGGGGAAAAGAGGGUUCCCUCCACAACACCACCUAGAGGGUAAAAGCAAAGGAGGCCCAGGAGGCCCCACCUGACCCGGCCCCAUCUGCCCCCUGACUUAGCGGCUGAACACGCCCCUUCACUUAGUCUGCUACAGCCACGCUUCGGCCGCGCAGCCCUGCCAAAAGCUGAGCCCUCUGCCUGGAGUCCCCUUGUUCUCCGCAUUCCUCCUUCGUGUCACUUCCCCUCCCUGGGAGGCAACUGGUGUGAUGAAACAGAGGUGAAAUGUGUGGACUGUGGAGACACACCACCAGCCACAAGCUGUGUGAUCUCGGGUAAGCUGAUGGGCCUCUCUGUGCCUCCACUCCCUUAGCCAUACAAGGGAGGCACUAAGAACGUCUACUAUUUACUGAGCACCUACUCUGUGCCACUGUGAGUGAAGUACUACUCAAAGGAGUUUUGAGAGGAUUAAGUGGCAUUCAUUGGUUAGGCACUGGGUGCCCAGCACACAGUAAGUGCUCAAUAAACAAAUGCUGGUAGCAUUGACUGCUC